rnacentral:rRNA from 1 species
CCCUUAGAUGUCCUGGGCCGCACGCGCGCUACACUGAACGGAUCAGCGCGUUUUCCCUUCCCGAGAGGGACGGGUAACCUGCUGAACCCCGUUCGUGGUAGGGAUCGGGGCUUGCAAUUAUUCCCCGUGAACCAGGAAUGCCCAGUAAGUGCAAGUCAUAAGCUUGCGUUGAUUACGUCCCUGCCCUUUGUACACACCGCCCGUCGCUACUACCGAUUGAACGUUUUAGCGAGGUACUCGGACUGAGCCUCAGAAGAUUCACGUCUUUUGUGCUGCUCGGGAAGAUUCCCAAACUUGAGCGUUUAGAGGAAGUAAAAGUCGUAACA